rnacentral:rRNA from 1 species
UUACGCGCGUGAGUGAAGAAGGCCCUUGGGUUGUAAAGCUCUUUANCUAGGGAAGAGGCUCAGCCGACCUAAUACGUCGGUUGGGUGACGGUACCUAGAGAAUAAGCACCGGCUAAUUUCGUGCCAGCAGCCGCGGUAAUACGAAAGGUGCAAGCGUUACUCGGAAUCACUGGGCGUAAAGCGCACGUAGGCGGAUUAGUAUGUCAAUUGUGAAAUCCCAGAGCUCAACUCUGGAAUCGCAGUUGAAACUGCUUUUCUUGAAUACCUGAGAGGGUGGGGGAAUACCUAGUGGAGAAGUGAAAUUCGUAGAGAUUAGGUGGAACACCGGAGGCGAAGGCGCCUGCCUGGCAGUGUAUUGACGCUGAGGUGCGAAAGUGUGGGGAGCAAACAGGAUUAGAUACCCUGGUAGUCCACACCGUAAACGAUGGAUACUAGGCGUUCGGAGAGUUAACCCUCUGAGUGCCAAAGUUCACACAUUAAGUAUCCCGCCUGGGAAGUACGGUCGCAAGACUUAAACUCAACGGAAUUGACGGGGUGCCGCACAAGAGGUGGAGUAUGUGGUUUA